rnacentral:rRNA from 1 species
CCUACGGGUGGCAGCAGUGAGGAAUAUUGGUCAAUGGGCGCGAGACUGAACCAGCCAAGUAGCGUGAAGGAGGAAGGCACAGAGUAUCGUAAACUUCUUUUGUCAAGGAAUAAAGUGAGGCACGCGUGCCUGUUUGUGUGUACUUGAUGAAUAAGGAUCGGCUAACUCCGUGCCAGCAGCCGCGGUAAUACGGAGGAUGCGAGCGUUAUCCGGAUUUAUUGGGUUUAAAGGGAGCGUAGAUGGGUUGUUAAGUCAGUGGUGAAAGGUUGCGGCUCAACCCCAAAAUUGCAAUUGAUACUGGCAGCCUCGAGUACAGUGGAGGUAGGCGGAAUGCGUGGUGUAGCGGUGAAAUGCUUAGAUAUCACGAAGAACUCCGAUUGCGAAGGCAGCCUACUAA